UUAAUCUCGUUAAGAAUGUUUUGGAUGUUCAAUUGAUGACUGAUUGACGAACACUCGACCACUCGCCUUCAAUGUAGGAGCGAAAUAACUUUCUUAAGUAGAUGCGGCCAUAUUUAUAAAUAACUACACCCAAACCAAUCUGUGUGAAAUUUUAGCAAUGAAUAUUUACGGAAUUUUUCCUUUGCGACUUUUUCUAUACCCCUCUCUCUGUACCCCGAUGACCCUUUUCUCAAAUGUUCCCCGUUUUUGCAAGUUUUUCUUUUUUUAGAGAAACAUUUUGAAUUCGAAUUUAAAAAAUCGUUGUCACCUAUGUGGAAGACCCCGCGAUAACAUAAAACCUCUUCGCAAAUUCUAAUUUCGGCUAGGGAAUAAUCUCUAUCUCGGGAACAUGGAGGUAAGGAUCCACUUUUGCAUUCUGUGCUGGUUCCUAAGAAUAUCGAGGUCGAGCGAAGAAGAAAAUUUCGAUAUAUGGAAUAACGAGACCGAGUAUGCUAAAGAAAGAGAAGAAAAGAAGGCUGAUUACAGGAGUAGUGUAGAGGAUGUAGCAAGCGCAAUUUUAAUUGCAAUUAAGAAGCUAGUGAAACAAGAGAUUAAGAUUUAAUUUGUGGAGAUGACAGGAGAGAAAUGAAAAAGUGCGACUAUGAAGAAUGAUGAGUAAGUGAGUGGAAGUGUAGUAGAGAUGGGGUUGUGGUAGCGAGAAAGGCGGUGUUUAGAAGGAUGUAGUAGUAGUUCAUGC